UUUUGAACGACCUUGACAUUUAUGAAUCGUGGCAUCUUCUGUGCGUUUAAAUCUGUUUUGCAAUGUUGUCUUCUCGUUCAGUGACCAGACUUAUUCGAAGUUAUUCCAAGUCACGAGCGUUGUGGACGGGAAAUGAAUCUCUCGCUGAUGAUGACCCAGAGUUGAAGGUCAUUAUAGACAAAGAAAAACAUCGCCAGAAACACGGGCUGGAACUGAUUGCGUCUGAGAAUUUUGCCAGUCGGGCUGUGUUGGAGGCGCUGGGCUCGUGUCUCAACAAUAAAUAUGCUGAGGGAUAUCCUGGUGCUAGAUACUAUGGUGGAAACAUCUUUAUUGAUGAAGUGGAAACGCUUUGUCAGAAGCGAGCACUGGAGACAUUUCGUCUUGACCCAGAAAAGUGGGGCAUCAAUGUUCAGCCGUAUUCUGGCAGCCCGGCAAACUUUGCCGUCUUCACAGGAUUGCUUCAUCCACAUGACCGAAUUAUGGGCCUUGAUCUGCCCGAUGGAGGACAUUUAACUCAUGGCUUUAUGUCAGAUGUGAAACGAGUGUCUGCAACAUCUCUUUUCUUCGAGUCCAUGCCGUAUAAAAUAGAUCCUCACUCUGGCUACAUUGACUACGACAAGCUGAGGAUGACGGCGCGUCUCUUCCGCCCCCGUCUCAUCAUCGCCGGGACGACCGCGUACUCCAGACUUCUUGACUACAAGGUUUUCAGAGAGAUCUGUGAUGAAUCGAAGGCUUACAUGAUGGCCGACAUGGCCCAUAUCUCUGGUCUAGUGGCUGCCGACUUGAUUCCCAGCCCGUUUGAAUACGCUGACGUCGUCACUUCUACCACACACAAGACACUGCGAGGACCCAGAGGUGGCAUUAUCUUCUAUCGGAGGGGUGUGAAGAACACUGACCUGAAAACUGGAAAAGCUGUGAUGUACGAUUUGGAAAAGAAAAUCAAUGGGGCUGUGUUCCCGGCCUUGCAGGGUGGACCACACGAACAUCAGAUAGCAGCCAUCGCCGUCGCUCUCAAACAGGCACAGAGCUCAGAGUUCAAGGAAUACCAAAGACAGGUGAUGAAAAACGCAAAGGUUCUCGGUGAAUCUUUGAUGAAAAAAGGAUACACAGUUGUAUCAGGUGGAACCGACAACCACCUGGUUCUGGUUGACCUGCGACCCAAGGGAACGGACGGAGCGAGAGUGGAGCGAGUUCUCGAACUGUGUUACAUCACCGUUAACAAAAACACGUGCUCCGGAGACAAGAGUGCCAUGACCCCUGGUGGACUCAGGCUGGGAGCUCCUGCCUUGACGACGCGUGGACUCAAAGAGUCGGACUUUGAGAAGGUUGUUGACCUGCUGGACCGGGGCGUACAGAUCGCUCUCGAUGCUCAAAAACAGACAAAAAAGCUAGCUGAAUUCAAGACUUUUGUACUACAAGAUGCUAAAAUCCAAGCCCAGAUUAUGGAAGUGAAGAAAGAUGUAGACGAUUUCUCAAAGAACUACAACAUGCCUGGCUUUGUGGAUAGAUAGAUGACUCAGUUGUCUCCCUUGACACUUUCAAACUGAGACCCACUAACAGUAUUGCUAUGAAAGAAUUAGACAAGAUGCAAGAUGGCCGCCGCAGUUGAUGGCGCAAGCUUACAGGUAGCUCGUCGCAAGCUUACGGGAAGCUCGUCGCAAGCUUACGGGAAGCUCAUCACAAGUGUGCGAGUAGCUCGUCGCAAGUUUGCAAGAAGCUCGUCGCAAGUGUGCGGGAAGCUUGUUGCAAGCUUGCGUGAAACUAGUCGCAAGCAUGCGGGAAGCUCGUCGCAAGCGUGUGGGAAGCAAGAAACUAGUUGCAAGAAACUGAUGGGAAGCUUGCUGCAAGCAUGAAACCAGCUGGUUGCAUGGUUGUAAACAGGUUCCAAAUACUAGCUUGAAACGCUGUACUUACUACUGUAUAAGAUAUGCUUGUACAACAUUGUCGCAAGGUAGUUACCAGCUAGUUACCAGCUAUUUAAUAAGCUUGCAGUUUCCAAAGGUGUCAGUAUCGACUCUUUCCUUAAAGUUGAACAUUAAGGUUUUACGUUUAAAUCGGGGUUUGUUUUUUUACAAACUAUUACAUGUAUGUCUAUAUUUGUAAAUUUUAUUAUAGUAUGUAACAUUAUUUAUACAUGUAUACAUUUGACAGUAACACGUGUAAAGAGGCGUACUGGUCUGCGCCAUUGAAAACAUAUUGUGUAACUCGAUAUUUCAUCGUCUUCAGAUUUACACCCCUUUGAUGUACAUCUUUAUUGUCCAUCAGGUGAUUGUGAAAAUUUACUUGUCUAGGAGAGGCAGACAAUCAUAGUUGUUUUCAGUAUUUUAAAUGCUCAAGCAAUAGUUUGUUACAUUGUACUAUAAACCAAAUAUAUUUUAAAAUAAACUACAUGUAUGUUAUC
rnacentral:misc_RNA from 1 species